CGAGCACUUUCACAGGUCCUCCCCCAGGCAGUGGGGCCAGGAUUUGGUAGCUGGUGCUGAAAGAAAACCCCCAAUUGUAUCUUUGCCUUGGGACUUGUACUGGUGGCGGUAGAUACUGAGUGGGACAGAG
ensembl:snoRNA